rnacentral:Y_RNA from 1 species
GGCUGGUCCGAUGGUAGUAGGUUAUCAGAACUUAUUAACAUUAGUGUCACUAAAGUUGGUAUUCAACCCCCCACUGCUAAAUUUGACUGGCUUAAA